rnacentral:lncRNA from 1 species
UGCCACUUGAAUUAUUGGGCAGGACUGCCAGGUUUUCAAAUUGAAAUCUAAAGUUGACGGAGGAAAAAGGAGCAGGCAAUAAAACUUGCUCAUGAGAAGAGACGAAAACACAAGUGUUACCCGCGAAUUCUUUGGCACCAAAUAUUGAAACCUACUGCCCAGAAGCAAGCAAACAAUUCUACUUUCCAAACAUCAAUUCGAGAUGAUAAAAUAUUCGAGCUCUACGAUAAUCAUUGGCUGAUUCGAUUGGGAGAAAUUUGAAAGUAAUUUUAUGCUUUCUUGCUUUUAUUUUAGAUUCCGUCGCAUAUUGAUUGAACAAAUGCAUCAAUAAUUCAAUUUUUUUGCUGCAGGUUCUAAUUUAAAUUCGGGGAAAGUGUUUUCGUGGAAUGCAACUCCGAAUUACGUUACGUUAGUGUUAUUGGGUUGCUGUUUUAUCUGUGUGAUGGUCCAGUCCAACUUACCUGACCCGGUUCAAGCCCAACAGUGAGAAGGAUGUGGAAUUGGUUGUUAAAUGAUAAAAGCGUCUUUUAUGAAUUGAAACACGUGGUGCAAUAUGGACCGUUGGAUCUGACUUGCGUGGAUCAAUUACACUUUUUAUUUUUCCCUUGGCAGCAAUUUCCUUUAUUCUUCGUGUUCUCUCUGUAAUUUGGAGAUUCUCUCUUGUGAUAUGUUUGUAGAUCUUUGGGUGAGAGUUAAUCUUUUGAACUCUUGUGUGAGUUCGUUUAUGUACUGAGAGAUUUAUGGUGCUGUGGUUGAAACUUUGUGUUCCGGUGUGUUCUUGACACUUUUGCUAUAUUUGGCCGUUUGAUUUAGUGGAUUCGAGCUUAUUCCUUCGUGGAUGCUCAACGGGGACUAGGCGAUCUAACCAAUCGCUGAACCUCGGGGCUUCAGUCGAAAAAUCGCUUUGUGUUCUUACUGCUUUAAGUUCAGAUUUACAUUUUUGAUCUUAGUCUUUUGCGAUUUUUCGUUGUUUCGAAAACGAUCCUUGUUCCUACACGUUAAACUUCAGGUCGGGACAGGAGGAUUUUCGGUGAAGCCCCUUGUCAGAAAGCCAUGGAUGAAGAGGCGAGUUAAGUUUCAAAACUUUCAUGCAAUUAUGGCUAGCUUAAUGAAUGACUCCUGUUAUAGCGUUAAUUGCGUGGGCUUUGCUUUGUUUUCCGUUUUCCCUUGAUAAAUUAUCAGAGCCAGUAUAUUGAGAUGUGCAACUAUUGAAGAAAUUGAAGUUGAGAAGUCUUUUGAUAGAGAAAGAUGCUGUAAGUAUCUGAAUUGUAUAUGAUGUGCAUUUUUUAUUGUCAUAAAUGUGCAUAAAUUGUAUAUGAUUUAGAGCUAAAACAUAGUAUCUGAAUUGUUGAAGUCUGUUUACGAUUUAGAGCUUUUACAUUGUAUCUGAAUUACUGAGGCAUAGCAUCAGUUGCAAUGCACAUUAUACCACUGAUAUCCUUUUCCUUAUGAUUUUGUUCCAUAUAAUGUUGAUUGCAGUUUAUAAUAAGGUAAGGGUUGUUAAGUCCUUUUCUCUUUGCUUGAUGAUAAAUUUCACCUGCAAAAAAUGAUUUGAAAAGUCCAAUAUUCAUUGUUGUGACCGCCUUUGAAUGGAAAUUGUGGGUGGUGAUGGCAGCAUUAAGCUUAUGUGGAUGGUAAGGAAAGAGUGGAGUUGGAUAGAAAAUUAAGGGAGAAAUGCGGAUAGUAAGGAAAGAGUGGAGUUGGAAAUCGGGGAUAUGAUGCUAAUUGAGACUCCAGAGUAGGCCUUGAUGGGAUCUUGUGUUCUGGUGAUGGCGAUGAAGGGUGAUGAUGUUUACUUAAUGAAUGUUGGGGAUAGUCGAGCAGCUUUAGCGAAAAAGACACAAAACGAUGGGAGGCCGAUGAAGGAUUCAAAUGAAAUACUUUAUGGCGAUGAAUUUGAGAAUGUACAUAAUUUGAGUUCUUGUCAAUGGAUCAUAGUACAUCUGUAAAGAGGUAACAAGCAUAUUUGUUCCCUCUAGUUUAAGGAUAAUUGUUUGACAUUUAUGUCCUUUGUUCAAUGUUCAUGUACUAAAAUGAACCUGCUUCAUCUAUCUAGCUAUUCUUUCUUAAAAACUUGUUUCAAAAUCAUAAUUUCAUGGGAAAUUAUCUUUGACUGUAUUACAGGAAAGCUCAAGCGAAAGAGUCUUUAGGACCGAGAUGAAGAUUUAUAUGCUUUAAUUUGAAUGCUGUUCUCCGGUCAUCAACAACAGCCCGUCAAUUUUUGUUUAAGCAUCAAUGUAUAACAAUGUUGCCAAUGUUGUCAAUUUUUGCGUCAGUGUAUAACAAUGUAUCAUCAUCAGCAGCACAUCAUUUAAGAAAUGGAAGCAUCUUGUCAAUUUUUUGCACCAAUUGUUGUUUAACUCAGGAUGAUGUUGUAUAACAAUGUAUAAGCAUGAAUAAAGGCAAUUGGUGAACUGGAAACAA